rnacentral:rRNA from 1 species
CGAACGGGUGAGUAACACGUGAGCAAUCUGCCCCUGACUCCGGAAUAACUACGGGAAACUGUAGCUAAUACCGGAUAUGCGCCGAACAGGCAUCUGUAUCGGUGGGAAAGAAUUUCGGUCAGGGAUGAGCUCGCGGCCUAUCAGCUUGUUGGUGAGGUAACGGCUCACCAAGGCGACGACGGGUAGCCGGCCUGAGAGGGUGACCGGCCACAUUGGGACUGAGACACGGCCCAG